rnacentral:rRNA from 1 species
CGGCUUCAGCAAUGGGGCCUAGUACAGUGGCGAACGGGUGAGUAACACGUGGGUAAUCUACCUUCAAGUGGGGGAUAACCCGGGGAAACCUGGGCUAAUACCGCAUAAUAUCCGCAAGGAUCAAAGGAGCAAUUCGCUCGAAGAUGAGCCCGCGGCCGAUUAGCUAGUUGGCGGGGUAACGGCCCACCAAGGCUCUGAUCGGUAGCCGGUCUGAGAGGACGCACGGCCACACUGGAACUGAAACACGGUCCAGACUCCUACGGGAGGCAGCAGUGGGGAAUCUUGCACAAUGGGGGAAACCCUGAUGCAGCGACGCCGCGUGGGUGAUGAAGCUCUUCGGAGUGUAAAGCCCUUUCGGCAGGGAAGAGAUAAGACGGUACCUGCAAAAGAAGCCCCGGCUAACUACGUGCCAGCAGCCGCGGUAAUACGUAGGGGGCCAGCGUUGUUCGGAAUUACUGGGCGUAAAGAGUGCGUAGGCGGUGCGAUGUGUUCGGUGUGAAAUCUCCCGGCUCAACCGGGAGGGGCCAUCGAAAACUGUCGCGCUUCGGGUACGGGAGAGGGGAGUGGAAUUCCCGGUGUAGCGGUGAAAUGCGUAGAGAUCGGGAGGAACACCAGCGACGAAGGUGGCUCCCUGGACCGUUACCGACGCUGAGGCACGAAAGCUAGGGGAGCAAACAGGAUUAGAUACCCUGGUAGUCCUAGCCCUAAACGAUGUUCACUUGGUGUGCCGCGAGCACUCGCGGUGUGCCGGAGCUAACGCGUUAAGUGAA